AGAGAGGCACAAAGAGACUUGGAGUUUUCUUCUCCAAGAAAGAAAGAGAGAGAGUGAGAGCGAGUGUGAGAGAGAGAGAGAGAUAGAAGAUUUGUUCCACAGUAAUAGAACAUACAUUGUAGCAGUGUAUCCACUUAGCCUACUAUUUUUAGAGAUUCGGGACGCAACAAAGACUUGGAAGACAAAGCAUGUAGACUCAAGUGGCCGAGGAUAGUAUUCUCCAAUGAUCCUCAAGAUUCCAUUAUAUAUCCCUAUGCCAAACUAUGUUGCUAAUAUGUGCAAAUAGCAAACCUAUAGAGGUUGUUUAUUAGCAAGCAAGAACAUGAGUCUAUAUAGGUAGCACAUUUAACACAUGUCAUCUAUCUUCAGAUCAAUCAGAAUGAGAUUUUAAUUAAGUAUUCUCUCAUUAUAUAUUUUCCUAAUUGGACCAAGUAAUGUCUCGUUUUAUUAGAGAAUUGAUUAAGCUUCUAAUUGUGUUGGAAAAAUGCCUAAAAUGGGUUUAGGCCUAGGUCAGGUCAAGAAAGACUAGAUCAAGCCUUGAUUUGGGCCAACUUGAGCUUGGUCCACAUGGUGGGUGGCCACUCAUGUGGGGCCACCCUCUCUUUCCCUCUUCACACACCUUGUGAUGGCAUACUUCCUUUAGGAGUGUGACACCCUAAUGGAGGAGGUGCCCAAGUAAGGGCUACCCCCCCUUAUUCUUAUCGAAGUCCAUCUAGGACACUUAAGGCAGGCAAUCAAGUUAGCGGCAUCCUAGAAACCAUAACACUUUGCUAUAGAAAAGUAAAGAGAGAUAAAGGGUGGAAAGGAGAGAGCAUCUUCUACAAGAAAAAGAGAGGAAGGAGAAGAAUGUUUGUUCUAAAGCAAUAAGACAAGGUCUUCUUGCAAAGCUUCCCCUAGAUCUACAAUUGUUGGUGAUCCAAGCUAAGCAAAGCCGCAUGUGGAUUGAACUGGGCCCGAGUAAUGACUCUUAGAGUGACUUGUUCAUUUGCAGCCUUAAUCUCUCUCAAGAGGAUCAAAUUAACUCUAUAUCACCAUCAUGUGAAUGUAUGAAUAUUUUAAAUCCUAUAUAUAUAUAUACAUAUAUAUGUCAUUACAUGGAAAUAGCCUGAAUACAGAUUCUAAUAUUCUAUUGCAAGUCUCUGAUGUUCUAUAUGUCGAUCAUGCACAUCAUUGAGCUGGGGCAUAGCGACUUAAGAAAAGGUGAAUUGGACAUGAAACAUGUAGGCAAGCUGUGUGUGGUACAGGCUGACCUCAUUGAGAGCAUCACAACUGUUUAGGGAGGGAGCCCAAGUAGACGAAGGGUGCAGUUCUUAGAUCAACACUAGUCACUAGUAGUCGCAAUAAGAACCCAUCACCAUCAGAGGGUUUUUUAUCGAUGAAAAGAUCCUCAUGGAGUUGUCAAAGAGAUUGAGAGAUCUUAACCCUAAGCUGGCAAUGGUGAGCGUAAAAGUUUCUGUGACCAAGCCUGUAAGUUUAUUAUUAUGGAGGUCAAGUGCAGCGAGCUAAUUCUUGCAUCGAACCCCGUCACCGCCACUAAGGGAAUUUUGGUUUGGUUAAUAGAGCUCCCAUGUGUCAAAAGAGUAGAGAAGACAAAACAAAAGUUGAAGAUAAGGGGGAAAUUAUGUAGGGCAAUAUUUGGGGACAUUUUCAGUUCUAUAAUUGAUACUGAUAAAGGAGCAAUAGCUCUAGCUUGGAUCCCAACUGUAGAGGAGUUAUAGGUAUAAUAAUGAUUUCUUGAAGGAGAUCCAAAGCUGCCAAACAUCACCCUCACUCACCCCAAGCCCAAAGAAGAGUAGUAGAAGCGUGGUGGGGCAUCGAGGUAUCAAUCUCUUCUUAUGGUGGCAAUUGGGGUUCUUUUCUAAAGUAUGGCUUCUACCAUUAGAGACAACAGUACGAGGAUGGAAUAGAUUCACAGAGGAGGGGGGGAGAUAUGAGGAGGGCUAGAAGAUAGGACUCCUGGUCAAGGGCUAGAAAGGUCAUUUCAUCUCAGUGAGCAUACCCACAAACCCUAAUAAAUUUGGAGGACAACAUGUUAGCAAAAGGUAUUAAUUGUAAUAUAUCAUGAUUUUAUUUGGAUCAAUUUGGAAAUAGUAAUAAGGGAAGAUUUUAUGUAUGAUUUCAAUAAUAUGUUGUUUGUGAUAUGCAAAAAAAGACCAAACUUAGCUACUGUUACUUUCCUCGGCAACGUUAUAUGUGGGAUUUUAAACUAGGGGUGGUAGUGGGUUGAGCCAACCCGAUCGAUUUAAGAUAUUAAUAUAUCAAAUAUUGAUCCAUACUAGACCGGACUCGAUAGUCUAGACCUCUCAAUAGAUACCUACCUACAGGUUACCCCCAUUACCUAAUUUGACCAUGUAACUUGUUAAUCUAAUUUACUUAUCUUGAUCUCUAAUAGACCUAAGCUGGACCUUUCUAAGGUAAUAUUUAUAGCUCAUAAGCCUUGUUCGGACCUCAGUCUUCUAAUAGGCUUCUUCAUAGUUGAAAUCGAUCAAGAGAACUAGGGAAAUCAAGUAAUCCCAAUUUUCCAUUGCUGAGUAAUUGAUUAUUUCCCUACUUGGUUUUGAUGUGCCAAAACAUUUUGAGUGCAUUCCUUGUUGGUCUAACAAUUUUAAACAAGUAUUUUCAGGGUAACAAUGAACUUCAAAAGAAAAUCUUAGAAAAUGGUUCAUGGAUCUUGAACUUAAGUGUUGGAACCAUUCAAGCAUUUUCCAAAACUAGAGUCGACUCCUAGGAAGUACGAGUCGACUCCGGCACAAGAAUGGCAUACUGGCACAACCUCGAGCCGUCUCCACAAAGCACGAGUCAACUCUCUCAGAUAGACAGAAACAUGUAUUUCGGGUCGCAAAGCACGAGUUGACUCAAGUCGAGCGCGAGCCAUCUUCCAUCUUUCGGAUGAAGCGUGAGACGACUCCCAACAAUUACGAGACGCCUCUCUCAGACAGACAGAAACAUGUACUUCAAGUUGCAAAGCGUGAGUCGACUCGAGUCGAGUGUGAGUCGUCUCCUAUCUGUCGGAUGAAGCGCAAGUCGCCUCCUAACUACUACGAGACGUCUCUCUCAGACAAAGGUAGAGAACUCUUUUUCGGCGGACCAAGAUGCGAGACGACUCCUGAACUGCAUGAGCCAACUCCAACAAAAAUCAACCGAUAACCUGUCGGCGGGAUUCCAAGCCAGAGCCAACUCUAGAAUUAUGUGAGACAGACAUCUCCCACUUUAGUAGAGCCGGCUUCUGGACAGGCGAGACGACUCUAGCUUCAACGGACUUUUUGUCAGAAGUGCCAGGCGCGAUAGAACGGCUACUCUUCUCAGUCUAACGGCUAGUUUUUCAAAAUGAAGAUAUAAGAAGACCCGUUCUGAGUGACACAGUAACAAGAAUGAAAAAUCCAAACAAAGAAGAUCAAGCAAAUCAUUUGAAACUAGAGCUCAAUGGUCAUUCAAAGGGAAAAUCGGAAGAAAUCAACUCUUCAACGAGAACCCACCCUUACUCCGAACCAGAGCCGAAAUAGAAAGAUCCUCCAUUGCCGACUGACUCGGAAGAGGAUCGAA
rnacentral:lncRNA from 1 species